rnacentral:lncRNA from 7 species
GGGCUAAUUCCUUUAGCUGCUCAUUAGACUUGGCUUGUUUCUCCUUAGAGUGUCUGGUUGCAGAAGAAAAGCUGUUUUCUGGGGAGCUUUGCCAUCACCAGAUCUGCUGGGUGCUUCUACAUGGCUGGUUGACAAACACUGCUGGGAUCCAGAGAGGCUUUCCACUUUCUUCGGAUGGAUGUGGUACAGGGAAGGUGAUUUUUCUCUUCUCUUUGUUGGUGCACAGCAAUGUUGGAAGGCAGGAGGAGACCCUGACACUGUGUGCUGCAGGAAAGUGCAUCCUUUCUGGCGUCCAAGUGAAAAUGUCAGCUUUUGAAUGCAGGUUUGGAAGUGCUGUUGUUAGAUACCCUUUUGUCUUUCUUAUUGCUCAGAGUAGGACUGCUGCUCUGCCCUGCAAUGACCUGUUUCUGCAAUAUUUUCUGCCCAAGCAAUAAUAAAACCAGAGAGAGAGAGGGAGAAAUGUAGGCAGUGAUAAAUGCAUUUUAGCAGCACAGAUGGUAUCUGUGGCAUCAGAUCCCUUUCCAAGGCCUCUUGUCCUGCAGCUUGCCCACCAGGAGUCCCUCUAGGUGGGAUCCCCACCCCUCUGUGCUGAGUGCUCCCACACUCAUUGGACUCCAGCUGCUAUUUCUGCUGAGCAUAGGGUACCCUUCAUUUCCCUGGCAAGGGGCACGUUUUCCUUGUGAGCUCUCCACGCUUUGUUCAUGCAAAUGAAAUCAUUUUAUUCUGACGGAGGGCUCUGAGCUGCAGCCAGCUUAUUGUUUUAGAAAUAAAGAUAUUAGUAUGCAAAUGACUCUGGAAGGUGUUUCUUCUCAUUAGAGAAUGGAGAUCAUUUGAUAAAGGGUGCAGUGCUCUUCAUCAGUAAAAAGGCUCAGCAAAUUUGUCUUGUCUCAACAGCAUUCUAACUACAAGACCGAUCGGAUAAUGCAGAAAAGAAAGCACAGGAGACAAAUGGUUUAUGACACUCCGGUUACCUUUACUGUGCAAGGUGGGCGUGAAAUUUUUUAUGGUGAGACAAAAAAGAUGAUGGGCAAUUAACUACAAACUCUUGCAGCAGGUUUAUCAUAUGCUCGGCUCAUCCAUCUGUGUCUCAGUCUCCGGUGGACUCAUGAGUUUCAUCAAGAAAACCAUUUUCAAACCAGCAGACCAAAACAGAUCGUUUUCGACUCCCAGCCUCAUCGAGGCUUUGCAGUAGUUUUGCCUCGUGUUUACGAUUUAUGGAUGCAACAGAAACACAGAGCAGACAGGAGUGGUCCAGAGAUCUCGCCAUUGCAGGUGACCAGUAACCUUGCAAGAAAAAUCAGCAAGCAGACGUUCCAUUACAAUAGGAACAAAUGGUAAACGAUAGCAUUAAAGAAUUCUCUUUCACUAGAAGAACUUCAGCUCUGAGACAAACAGCUGUUGCUGACACACUUUAAUUAAAAUGGAAGGCUGGCUUGAAGAUUUCUUUCAUUUUAAUACGCAACAAUAACAAGAUGGAAGUGAAAAAGCACAGAUAAGUUGGGAGGAGAAGGGAGAAAUAAAUGCUGUCUGUACUACUAAAAAAUUGCCUCUACGUUAAUUCUUGGAGACAAAUUCAAUUUCACUGGCUUCAGAAUCCAGGCAGGUUACUUUGGAAAAUGUCCUACCUGAGAAAUUCUUUGAAAGUGCAGAUCCAUGGGAAGUGCUCUUGUAAUUACUGUUAUGUUGUCGCCUCUACACUGGAGCAUGGGACUGUGUUCACAUCAUCAUUCAUCAUGCUGCGAGUUCAAUAGUGUCUCCAUGUUAAUUAAAGACUAUUUUUAGUUACC